rnacentral:rRNA from 1 species
UAGCCUAACUGAAAUCACAAAAUCACAAAUAGUGCUUAUUGUGAUAACGUAAGGGAAAAAAUGGAUAUUACCUUACUAUAAGUGUGUCUAAAUAACUGGUGCCAGAAGACUCGGUAACACCAGAAACGCGAACGUUAAUCGUCUUAAACAGGCGUAAAGGGUAAGUAGGCUGCUUUAAAGUCUAAAUUUAAAAAAGCUAAAUAGUAAAAAUUCCGCAAGUCACCUAAGGGUCUAUGCUUCUACUAUAAAAAGUUUUCAUACCUUAAUAAAAAAAGGCUAACAUACAAAUAAAAUAAGGAAAUAUUAGGAGGACUAAUAAAGGAAAUAACUAUUAAAAAUUUAAAAAUAGAUACACUUAAAGCUAGAAUCAAAAUGAGAUAAACCAAAUAAUACUUAAGUGUAAGGGCGAUAUCUGAAAUACUAAGUAGAAUACUAACGGUGAAAACUUUUUAUCUGGAAAUGAUUGACGCUGAGGUACGAAAGUGAGACAGGGAAUAGGAUUAGAUACCCAGUUACCUCUCACCGUCAACGAUGAAUGGAAGUUGUUAGUUUAAUUAAAUUAGUGACGAUGUUAACGCAGAUAACCAUUCCGCACUUGAGAGUACGGUUGCAAAACUGAAACCAAAAAAAUUAGUCGGUCUCGGAGCAAACGGAGAGUAAGCAU